AUUGAACGCUGGCGGCAUGCUUUACACAUGCAAGUCGAACGGUAACAGGCCUUCGGGUGCUGACGAGUGGCGAACGGGUGAGUAAUGCAUCGGAACGUGCCCAAUCGUGGGGGAUAACGAAUCGAAAGGUUCGCUAAUACCGCAUACGUCCUACGGGAGAAAGGGGGGGAUCUUCGGACCUCUCGCUAAUAGAUGAGCCUAGGCCGGAUUAGCUAGUUGGUAGGGUAAAGGCCUACCAAGGCGACGAUCUGUAGCUGGUCUGAGAGGAUGGCCAGCCACACUGGAACUGAGACACGGCCCAGACUCCUACGGGAGGCAGCAGUGGGGAAUUUUGGACAAUGGGGGCAACCCUGAUCCAGCCAUUCCGCGUGAGCGAAGAA
rnacentral:rRNA from 1 species